GCUACUCGGGAGGCUGAGGCAGGAGAAUGGCGGGAACCCGGGAGGCGGAGCUUGCAGUGAGCUGAGAUCCGGCCACUGCACUCCAGCCCGGGCGACAGAGCGAGACUCCGCCUUGCCUCACUCCCCUCCCCCAGACUCUAAAAGAAACAACUCCACCAACAGGACGUUGGCUUCCCCACUCCUUUCAGCUUAAGGAAAGGGAAAGCUACUGUCUUGGUAAGAGGCUCUGACUUCCUGGUUACUGUCAGCAAGAACUGAGUUUGGAAUUCAAGACAAACUAAGCUUUUCAGUCUUUUUCCAAUGGUAAUUUCGAUACAUCUGUUUUCCCUAAAUAGCUCAUCUUUAAUUCCUCUGUUUAGUUCUCGUAACAUCCAAGAAAAUCUUCCCAUUCAUAUGUAAAGAUUCCUAUUUUAGGAAAAGAGCCUUAAGUUCUAAGUUGAUGUGGUUCUCGUCACAUAAAUCAUCGCAAAUCCAAGGAGCAAGAGAUUAACCAGAAUGUCUAAGAAGCAUGGUUUGGUUGCUCCUUUCCCUUAUCGUUUCAGAGUAUUUUCCGUAAAUGUACUUCCAAGUAAGACUUGCGUGUUCCGCUGACCGUGCUUCACAUUAAACUACAGGAGUUGGGGAGUUCCAGCCCUGCCUGAGGGGAGCGGCAUUCAUAAACAGAAGAGAAGCGGACACUGAGAAGAUUACAUAUUUUCUCAACAACACAGCUGGUCAGUGGGCAGAGCAAGGGCUUGAACCCAGGACUGACACUGAGACCCCGGCUCUGCGCACAGCACCCUAGCACUCCCAGAAGGGUGGGUGGCUGAGGUGAAUCUUCAGUAUUCUCUUCUGGUUCCAGAUGUUCAGUUGCAGAAUGUUCUAUGAAUAACACGUUAUAUAAUAACACACAACAGAAUAACCAAGGGGACCAGGGCUGUGCUAACAGUUUCAUCCGACCAAAAUCAAAUUCCGUCUUAACAUUCUGCUGGCUGCCUUCAACAACGACCCAUCUCAUUCCCUGAUGUCUGGCUGGCUGAGAGCAUGUUCUUGGUGGAUUCCAGCUCCAAGAAAGGACAAGCUGAAACUUAUCUGCUUACCUCUGCCCCUUUAGUCUCCAUUAUGGCUCCUCUGUGUAAAUCUUGGAAUUUGCAAGGUAAUGACCAAGUGUGUGUGGGUAGUGGAGUGGGAGGGGAGAGGGAGGACUGGCACCUGUUACAUUCCUCGGGAUUCACAUAUUAAUUCUGGCAUAAUAAUUCCUGAGUGGA